rnacentral:rRNA from 1 species
GACGUAGGGGGCCAGCGUUGUUCGGAAUCACUGGGCGUAAAGCGCACGUAGGCGGAUUUCUAAGUCGGGGGUGAAAUCCUGGAGCUCAACUCCAGAACUGCCUUCGAUACUGGAAAUCUCGAGUCCGGGAGAGGUGAGUGGAACUCCGAGUGUAGAGGUGAAAUUCGUAGAUAUUCGGAAGAACACCAGUGGCGAAGGCGGCUCACUGGCCCGGUACUGACGCUGAGGUGCGAAAGCGUGGGGAGCAAACAGG